rnacentral:rRNA from 1 species
UACGUAGGGGGCAAGCGUUGUCCGGAUUUAUUGGGCGUAAAGAGCGUGUAGGCGGUUAGGUAGGUCCGUUGUGAAAACUCGAGGCUCAACCUCGAGACGCCGAUGGAAACCAUCUAACUAGAGUCCGGAAGAGGAGAAUGGAAUUCCUGGUGUAGCGGUGAAAUGCGCAGAUAUCAGGAGGAACACCAAUGGCGAAGGCAGCACUCUGGGACGUGACUGACGCUGAGACGCGAAAGCGUGGGGAGCAAACAGG